rnacentral:rRNA from 1 species
CUUUCUCCGCCGGCGACCGGCGCACGGGUGAGUAACACGUAUGCAACCUGCCCCUGUCAGGGGGACAACCCGCCGAAAGGCGGGCUAAACCCGCGUACAUGCCACCGGGGCAUCCCGGAGGCAGGAAAGGCUUCGGCCGGACAGGGAUGGGCAUGCGGCGCAUUAGGCAGUAGGCGGGGUAACGGCCCACCUAACCGACGAUGCGUAGGGGUUCUCGUAGACGGAAAGGGUCCCCCACACUGGUACUGAGACACGGACCAGACUCCUACGGGAGGCAGCAG